rnacentral:lncRNA from 1 species
AAGAGUGAGAAAGAAGAGAAGGUUUAUUGGUCUGUUAUCCUAGAAUUGAAAAGUGGAAGGGAAGAAGAAAUCACGUGAAAAGGAAGAUAGUAAGUAUUUUAUUUAUCAUGGGUGGAAUCAAAAAGAUAAAAGAGAAUGUUGGUGGAAAGGUAAAGAGAAAAGCUGAGGGACCACGUGAACCAAAAGGGGAUUCUGAUUCUUUUAUCAUCUCAUGCCUUGUGCCUUUCACUUUAUUUCUAGUUUUUUUGUGCUGUAAAUAUCAGCAAUGGCGUGGAAAAACAAGCCAUACUCAAGUUCCAAUCUGAUGCUGAUGGCCUCAACAACCAAAUCAUUGUCUAACACCUUUCUCAAAACCAACCUAUUCUUAAUUAUUCAUUUUUAUGCAUUUUCCAAACUUUUGGGCCCCCACCACUUUACCCAAUGGGCUUUUCCUUUACAAUAUCCAUUCACAACCUGUUACUCAUUCCAGGAACAUACAAACUGCAACUAUCUUAUUUUCCUUAAUAGGUCAAAGUUCAAAAAAACAUUAGCACCAAACAUUGUAACAAAUGAAGCCUUCAUCACCUGCUAAAAUUUCAACUCAGAUAUAGGAGAAGAGCAGUGUCAGUCUCAAACACUGCCAGUUUGGCAAUAUGUUAGUAUGGCAAAACAAAAAAAUAAAUAUAAAAUAUUCGAUGGCCAAAAUCACAAUGUGUUGGCAAAGCUUUCCUAAUUGAUAGUGUGGUGUAAAUCCGUGUUUUGUUAAAACUUUCUAAAAUAAUGCG